AUAAGCAGAUUAGGUCUGAUUAAACUAUCAGUGGAAUUGGAGCCAGAGACCUGCCAGGACAGAAGCAAUGUGUCCGUGCACUCCUUUGCCGCUCUGCAUCUCUCUCUCUCCCUCUGUUUUCCUCGGUGUCGCUCCAUCAGGCAUCCACGACUGAUCUGUUGCCCUGGCAGGGAUCCAGAUGCCAUCAGCGACAAGCGAGCUCCAUCAGAUACUUAAGAGACAGAUUUGCUCACUCCUCCACAUUAAUGAGCAAACACACACUCAACCCGUUGAACUGCAGGCAUUCAGUGUUUCCUGGGGGCCCAGAGCCUCAUAAAUAUCACUGGCUGCUUUGGAUCUCUCUCUAAACCGGCAGGCCUGACUGGCACUCAUCCAGCCAGACAAAACCUCAUUACAAUGUUCCUGCGAGAUUACAGCUAAAUUCUAACACCUACCGUCAACAGCCAGGCCUGCAUGAACAUCACCUGCCUAACACCAAGAUCCAGAGAUUGCUCCAGCUCCAGUUGUGUCCCACUCAUGAACAUUAUGGACCUUCAAAGAGUAGAUGCCGACUCCGCAAACAUCUUGAACCAUCUAGGGAUGUACCAGUGCUAUUUUAAACCUCACUUCAUGUAUAGUUGGACAUUGGAGAAGUUGGUGUUGGAUCUAUGAUGAUCUCAGAUGUUCAGCUAUUUUAUGAUUUGCUUAGUAGCUUCUGGUUCCACAAUGUCAACUGACUGUAUAAGACUGUAGAAAAGAUGUUAGCCAU